CACAUUUUCGUAUAAAACGUUAAAAAGACAAAAAAAAUCAAUAAAUUUACAUAAAAAUAGUUAAAAUCAAUUGAAAAAGUAAAAAAAAAUUUUAGGAGGAUGAACAGCAGGAGAUUCAAUCCCAACCAAGUUUCCAUGCCCAGAUGAUUCAAUCCCAAUCAAGUUUUCUUGCCCAUAAGAUUCUAUCCCAACUAAGUUUCCUUGCCCAGGAGAUUCAAUCCAAACCAAGUUUGCUUGCCCCAACACUUGAAGAAAAUAGGCCACAACAACCCCAAAAGAGGGCAGCACAACCGCCGUAUACGGCGGUGCCUAUGAAACAGACCAAGCCGGAAGAAUACAUCGUCUUUUUUUGUUUGCUACUCUUCCUUGCGGAAACCAUGGGGUGAAUUAUAUUCUUUCAGCAGAGUGCACCCGUCUGCUUUGUGUAAGUGUUCCCCUUUUCUUGCGUUGUCUUUUUUCCCCCGUCUGGUAUGUAUUUCAUGUGAUAUGAAGUCAAUGUUAUACUUUAUUGCUAUUUGUUGUGUUAUGUGCAAGUGUAAUUUUUUUUGUAUGAAUAAAUUGUGGGACUUUGCGGGAAAUUUGUGGGUGGGUAAAUUUCCCAAAUUGACUUUUCAAUUUUUUAU
rnacentral:lncRNA from 1 species